rnacentral:rRNA from 1 species
UACGUAGGGUCCGAGCGUUGUCCGGAAUUACUGGGCGUAAAGAGCUCGUAGGUGGUUUGUCGCGUUGUCCGUGAAAACUCACAGCUCAACUGUGGGCGUGCGGGCGAUACGGGCAGACUGGAGUACUGCAGGGGAGACUGGAAGUUCCUGGUGUAGCGGUGGAAUGCGCAGAUAUCAGGAGGAACACCGGUGGCGAAGGCGGGUCUCUGGGCAGUAACUGACGCUGAGGAGCGAAAGCGUGGGGAGCGAACAGG